UGAUCUAAUUUUGGUUUGAUUUGGUUUGAGAAACCAAAUUAAAAUAAGUCAUAAGAUAGAAUCUUAGUAAGACUAGGAUUCCACCUUGCACCACAUAAACCUUCCCCACGCCCUCUCUCUCAUUCAACGCCAAGCUCCUCUUAUUUUGUGUGACAAAAGCCCUCUCCCAGGUCUCUCCCAUGUUCACAAAAGGUCUCCUCUCUUCUUUCUUAUAUGGAAGGUGGUUUGGAUCAAAUCAAAAAGGAAUAAGUUUGGAUUUCGAAUUCUAUGAGAUAGAGUUUUAGAAAUCCAAAACUCUUUUAAUUUUGCACCGA
rnacentral:lncRNA from 1 species